rnacentral:rRNA from 1 species
UCGGGAAUUUUGGGCAAUGGGCGAAAGCCUGACCCAGCAACGCCGCGUGAAGGAUGAAGUAUUUCGGUAUGUAAACUUCGAAAGAAUAGGAAGAAUAAAUGACGGUACUAUUUAUAAGGUCCGGCUAACUACGUGCCAGCAGCCGCGGUAAUACGUAGGGACCAAGCGUUGUUCGGAUUUACUGGGCGUAAAGCGCACGUAGGCGGAUUGAUAAGUUAGAUGUGAAAUCCCCGGGCUCAACCUGGGAACUGCAUUCAAAACUGACUGACUAGAGUAUGGUAGAGGGUGGUGGAAUUUCCUGUGUAGCGGUGAAAUGCGUAGAUAUAGGAAGGAACACCAGUGGCGAAGGCGACCACCUGGACUGAUACUGACACUGAGGUGCGAAAGCGUGGGGAGCAAACAGGAUUAGAUACCCGAGUAGUCCCUGAGCGGGCUGGCAAGGCGCAU